AGUAGGGCAGAUGAUCGCGGCUCUUAGGAGACGAGGAAAGUCCGGGCAUCAUAGAGCAGGAUGGCUGCUAACGGCAGCUGGAGGUGACUCCCAGGAAAGUGCAACAGAAAGUAUACCGCAGCAUGUUUAGUGCUGUAAGGGUGAAAUGGCAGGGUAAGAGCCUACCGCGCUGGUGGUAACAUCAGUGGCAGUGUAAACCCCAUCCGAUGCAAGACCGAGCAGGAAUCAUAUAGUUGCUCGCUAGAUUCCGGGUAGGUUGCUUGAGCCUAAUGGUGACGUUAGGCCUAGAUAGAUGAUCAUCCACGACAGAACCCGGCUUACAGCCUUGCUCAU
rnacentral:RNase_P_RNA from 1 species